CUCCCCUCAGGAAUGGCCGCCCCUCAGGCGGGCGGGGUCGGGAGUGCUCCGGCGGAAUCGCAGGGUCACUUUAUUUCAAAACAGUUGAUGGUGGCACCUGCUGGGCAGAACAGCAAGACCAAAAGAUAACACAGCCACCUGAGAGGAGAAACUGAGGCUCCAGCCCUGAUGUGCCGCAUGUUAAUGCACUUUGUGUUGUAAACUCACUGGAAUAAAAACAGAUCUUCACGGGAGCAGAGCUAGGAGCUGGCACUGUGGUUUCCUCUUCCCCAAGUGCAGAUUCUAAUCAAACAGGCUAAAGCUAUUUCUCAGUAAGUAACUGCUUAAUGAUUCUGUGCAAAGUAGGGCAAGAUCCACCAGAGGAACAGUGCACACGUCUCUGAGAGCAGCUUUUGGCACAGGGAGCAGGAGAUGCAGAGGUGAACCUCCUGGGAGGAAGAUAUUCAAUCCCAAUCACCCACUGAGAGAAUAACCUGGCAGAGAAGGAGAGCAGAUUUUAUGAUGCAAGAGCCCAAUUCAGCUCAAACUGACAUCUGUGGGAGAUGGACCAGUCACAGAAUAUGACAAAAUCAUUAGCUGGGCUAAAUAUGCUGAUCUGCCUUAAAAAUACUUCAUCUCAGGACAAGACUGUUUCCCCCCACCCCCAUGCAGCAUAAUUUGGGCCAGACUUUGCAAGGUGCUGAGUGCCUCAGUUCUCUAACAUCAAGAGGUGCUGAAGAUGCAAGAUAUCCACUGGAGAGGGCCAUUUCAUUUCUGUAAAUUGAACCCAGAAUGUAAGGCAUAUAUGCUCAAGUACCUUGGACAGAUAUUGUCCCCAAACUAUGUAUACUUUACACUUUA